UCUUCCGCAAUGGACGAGAGUCUGACGGAGCAACGCCGCGUGAGUGAUGAAGGUUUUCGGAGCGUAAAGCGCUGUUGUUAGGGAAGAACAAGUGCCGUUCAAAUAGGGCGGCACCUUGACGGUACCUAACCAGAAAGCAACGGCUAACUACGUGCCAGCAGCCGCGGUAAUACGUAGGUGGCAAGCGUUGUCCGGAAUUAUUGGGCGUAAAGGGCUCGCAGGCGGUUUCUUAAGUCUGAUGUGAAAGCCCCCGGAUAAAACGGGGAGGGUCAUUGGAAACUGGGGAACUUGAGUGCAGGAGAGGAGAGUGGAAUUCCACGUGUAGCGGUGAAAUGCGUAGAGAUGUGGAGGAACACCAGUGGCGAAGGCGACUCUCUGGUCUGUAACUGACGCUGAGGAGCGAAAGCGUGGGGAGCGAACAG
rnacentral:rRNA from 1 species